GAGAGGUCCAGAAGACCUGCUAACUCUUUAAUCUGGUAAA
rnacentral:tRNA from 2 species